AUUCAGUCACUCAAGCGACCACAACAAACGACGGAGAACCAGCGUGGUCUGCAAAUAUUUCAUCACUUUUCGAUAUCAGCUUUAUUUUCUCUCAAAAUGCCUCAGGGAUUUUCCAAGAAGAAGAAGGGACCUGAAGUGCCUGCCGCGCAUAAAAAGGGCAAGAGACAACAGCCCUUAAAAGCCAAGAGAGGAAUUCGCACCAUUGCCCCCAAAAAGACAAAGGCUGUUGAAGCUAAGCUUGUCCAGAAGCAGUUGCAAAAGGCUAUUAAUGCAAAUAUUGAGCAGGAAAUGCAACAACGAGCAUCGAAGGCUCCUCAGAACUUCAAGCUUCUCAAGAAAGUGAAGCCAGAAGAGGGGGCAGAAAAGAAGUAGGGAUAAGGGGCUUUAGGUUUAUCAGUUCUUGUUAUACUUUAUAGAAAAAAUAAAUAUAAUUGUAUUUUCAUAAAAAUGACUACAGUUCAUUAAAGAGUUAAAAAAUAUA